AGUGAACGCUGGCGGUGGGCCUAACACAUGCAAGUCGAACGGCAGCACAGUAAGAGCUUGCUCUUACGGGUGGCGAGUGGCGGACGGGUGAGGAAUACAUCGGAAUCUACUUUUUCGUGGGGGAUAACGUAGGGAAACUUACGCUAAUACCGCAUACGACCUACGGGUGAAAGCAGGGGAUCUUCGGACCUUGCGCGAUUGAAUGAGCCGAUGUCGGAUUAGCUAGUUGGCGGGGUAAAGGCCCACCAAGGCGACGAUCCGUAGCUGGUCUGAGAGGAUGAUCAGCCACACUGGAACUGAGACACGGUCCAGACUCCUACGGGAGGCAGCAGUGGGGAAUAUUGGACAAUGGGCGCAAGCCUGAUCCAGCCAUACCGCGUGGGUGAAGAAGGCCUUCGGGUUGUAAAGCCCUUUUGUUGGGAAAGAAAAGCAGCAGGUUAAUACCCCGCUGCUCUGACGGUACCCAAAGAAUAAGCACCGGCUAACUUCGUG
rnacentral:rRNA from 1 species